GCAAUAUUUAAGCUUCAUCAUUUGACUUUACCUGAGACUUUCGUGGUCUGAAAAUGGUUUAAUAACAGAGGCUGUUGACCUAAAACAGCUGCCAAGCUCAGGAAACCCACACGGGAUAGCUAAACCUGCUGACUCAGAAUUACUAUUUUCAUCAAGAGACGCUGAAACUCAGUGAGACCAUCACGAAAGGGGCAUCUCUCGGUUCACUCACACUUACGUCCUAACUUUACACCCUGGAGAUGGAGGGUCACCUGCAGAAUCUUCAGUUUGAACAUGACAGUACAGCUGCUAGCAAUAUACAGAGGAACCUCAAUUAUCCGAACAUCAAUAAUGCACAUUUCGGAUGAGUCAGAGGAGAUCUCAAGGUCCCACAAAAACUUUACAUCAAAGAGAAUUUAGGUAUUCUGGCAAGACCAACAUUUGUUGCCAUCCCUGACUGUCCUUGAGUUGAGUGCUUUUCUGGACCACUUUUGACUUCAUUGCCUGUGGGUCAGGAGUCACUUGGAGACCAGAGCAGGGAAAUAUUCAGAGAGAAGCAGCCACUGCUGGAGGAAAGGUGACCGUCAGAGUCGGCGAACUUUGAUGUUGUGCAUUGUCAGAAACUUCUUGAUUUGGUCCAUUUUCCCGAGAG